rnacentral:rRNA from 1 species
UACGAAGGGGGCUAGCGUUGCUCGGAAUCACUGGGCGUAAAGCGCACGUAGGCGGAUUGCUAAGUCAGGGGUGAAAUCCUGGAGCUCAACUCCAGAACUGCCUUUGAUACUGGCGACCUUGAGUCCGGGAGAGGUGAGUGGAACUGCGAGUGUAGAGGUGAAAUUCGUAGAUAUUCGCAAGAACACCUGUGGCGAAGGCGGCUUUCUGGGCCUUACCUGACGCUGAGACGCGAAAGCGUGGGGAGCGAACCGG